AUACGGAGGAUCCGAGCGUUAUCCGGAUUUAUUGGGUUUAAAGGGUGCGCAGGCGGCCAUUUAAGUCAGCGGUUAAAUCGUGGGGCUCAACCCCAUUCUGCCGUUGAUACUGGGUGGCUUGAUUGCGGUCGAGGUUGGCGGAAUUCGUUGUGUAGCGGUGAAAUGCAUAGAUAUGACGAAGAACACCGAUUGCGUAGGCAGCUGGCCAGACCGCAAAUGACGCUCAUGCACGAAAGUGCGGGGAUCGAACAGGAUUAGAUACCCUGGUAGUCCGCACAGUAAACGAUGAAUACUUGUUUUCGGCGAUAUAAUGUCGGAGGCAAAGCGAAAGCGAUAAGUAUUCCACCUGGGGAGUACGCCGGCAACGGUGAAACUCAAAUGAAUUGACGGGG
rnacentral:rRNA from 1 species